rnacentral:rRNA from 2 species
GGUUUACCUGUGUGACUGCGUACCUUUUGUAUAAUGGGUCAGCGACUUAUAUUCUGUAGCAAGGUUAACCGUAUAGGGGAGCCGAAGGGAAACCGAGUCUUAACCGGGCGUUAAGUUGCAGGGUAUAGACCCGAAACCCGGUGAUCUAGCCAUGGGCAGGUUGAAGGUUGGGUAACACUAACUGGAGGACCGAACCGACUAAUGUUGAAAAAUUAGCGGAUGACCUGUGGCUGGGGGUGAAAGGCCAAUCAAACCGGGAGAUAGCUGGUUCUCCCCGAAAGCUAUUUAGGUAGCGCCUCGUGAAUUCAUCUCCGGGGGUAGAGCACUGUUUCGGCUAGGGGGCCAUCCCGGCUUACCAACCCGAUGCAAACUGCGAAUACCGGAGAAUGUUAUCACGGGAGACACACGGCGGGUGCUAACGUCCGUCGUGAAGAGGGAAACAACCCAGACCGCCAGCUAAGGUCCCAAAGUCAUGGUUAAGUGGGAAACGAUGUGGGAAGGCCCAGACAGCCAGGAUGUUGGCUUAGAAGCAGCCAUCAUUUAAAGAAAGCGUAAUAGCUCACUGGUCGAGUCGGCCUGCGCG